UACGUAGGGGGCAAGCGUUGUCCGGAAUUAUUGGGCGUAAAGGGCACGCAGGCGGUUCGCUAAGUUCGAGGUGACAAUCACCGGCUUAACCGGUGAACGAUUUCGAAAACUGGCGGACUUGAGGGCGAGAGGGGGACCUGGAACUCCGGGUGGAGCGGUGAAAUGCGUAGAGAUCCGCAAGAACACCAGUGGCGAAGGCGGCUCACUGGCCCGGUACUGACGCUGAGGAGCGAAAGCGUGGGUAGCAAACAGG
rnacentral:rRNA from 1 species